rnacentral:tRNA from 1 species
GUGGGUACAGCUCAGUGGUAGAGCACAUACUUAGCAUGCACAAGGACCUGGGUUCAAUCCCCAGUACCUCCA